rnacentral:tRNA from 1 species
GGAGAGGUAAGCCGAAAGAGUCUGGGUAGCGGCGACUGUCUUGAAAACAGAGGGCCUGCGGGAGCAGGUGUCAGAGUUCGAAUCUCUGUCUCUCCGCCA